rnacentral:rRNA from 1 species
ACUCCUACGGGAGGCAGCAGUGGGGAAUAUUGCACAAUGGGCGCAAGCCUGAUGCAGCCAUGCCGCGUGUGUGAAGAAGGCCUUCGGGUUGUAAAGCACUUUCUAGUCGUGAGGAAGGUAGUGUAGUUAAUAGCUGCAGUAUUUGUACGUUAGCGACAGAAGAAGCACCGGCUAACUCCGUGCCAGCAGCCGCGGUAAUACGGAGGGUGCGAGCGUUAAUCGGAAUUACUGGGCGUAAAGCGCAUGCAGGUGGUUGUUAAGUCAGAUGUGAAAGCCCGGGGCUCAACCUCGGAAUAGCAUUUGAAACUGGCAGACUAGAGUACUGUAGAGGGGGUAGAAUUUCAGGUGUAGCGGUG